UACCCCUUAUGCAAGCGUUAUCCGGAAUUAUUGGGCGUAAAGCGUUUGUAGGCGGGCGAGUGUGUUUAAUGUUAAAUCUUAAAGCUCAACUUUGAAAUUGCGUUAAAAACUGCUUGUCUUGAGUAUGGUAGGGGUAAGGGGAAUUCCCAGUGUAGCGGUGAAAUGCGUAGAUAUUGGGAAGAACACUAAACAGCGAAGGCACUUUACUAGGCUAAUACUGACGCUGAGAAACGAAAGGUAAGGUAGCGAAACGGAUUAGAUACCCGUGUAGUCUUACCCGUAAACUAUGGACACUAAACGGUAAAUUUUUAAUUUACUGUUAAAGCUAACGCGUUAAGUGUCCCGCCUGGGGAGUAUGCUUGCAAAAAGUGAAACUCAAAGGAAUUGACGGUGGCCCGCACAAGCGGUGGAGCAUGUGGUUUAAUUCGACGGUACACGAAGAACCUUACCAGGAUUUGACAUGCCAGAUAGUUGCUUGGAAGAGUAACGUGCCGUAAGGAAUCUAGACACAGGUGGUGCAUGGCUGUCGUCAGUUCGUGUUGUGAAAUGUUGGGUUAAGUCCCGCAACGAACGCAACCCUUGUCUUUAGUUAUUUUCUAAAGAGACUGCCUGUAAUAAACAGGAGGAAGGUAAGGAUGAGGUCAAGUCAUCAUGCCCCUUAUGUCCUGGGCUACACACGUGCUACAAUGGGAAAGACAAUGAGCUGCAAAUCUGUAAAUUUAAGCAAAUCUCUUAAACUUUCUCGUAGUUCGGAUUGUGGGCUGCAACUCGCCCACAUGAAGUUGGAAUCGCUAGUAAUCGCCAGUCAGCUAUAUGGCGGUGAAUCCGUUCCCGGC
rnacentral:rRNA from 1 species